rnacentral:rRNA from 1 species
UAGUGAGUUUGUAUCCUGGCUCAGGAUGAACGCUGGCGGUCUGCUUAACACAUGCAAGUCGAACGCAAGUAGAAAUACUUGAGUGGCGGACGGGUGAGUAACGCGUGAGAAUCGUGCCUUCUGGUCGGGGACAACCACUGGAAACGGUGGCUAAUACCGGAUAGUGCCUAUGGGUGAAAGAUUUAAUUGCCAGAAGAAGAGCUCGCGUCUGAUUAGCUAGUUGGUGGGGUAAUGG